rnacentral:rRNA from 1 species
UACGAAGGGGGCUAGCGUUGCUCGGAAUCACUGGGCGUAAAGGGUGCGUAGGCGGGUCUUUUAAGUCAGGGGUGAAAUCCUGGAGCUCAACUCCAGAACUGCCUUUGAUACUGAAGAUCUUGAGUCCGGGAGAGGUGAGUGGAACUGCGAGUGUAGAGGUGAAAUUCGUAGAUAUUCGCAAGAACACCAGUGGCGAAGGCGGCUCACUGGCCCGAUACUGACGCUGAGGUGCGAAAGCGUGGGGAGCAAACAGG